rnacentral:tRNA from 1 species
GCCCCGGUGGUGAAAUUGGUAGACACGCAGGACUUAAAAUCCUGUUCGCAGCAAUGCGAGUGCCGGUUCGACCCCGGCCCGGGGCACAA